rnacentral:rRNA from 1 species
GUGGGGAAUUUUGGACAAUGGGCGCAAGCCUGAUCCAGCAAUGCCGCGUGAGUGAAGAAGGCCUUCGGGUUGUAAAGCUCUUUUGUCAGGGAAGAAACGGCCUGUUCUAAUACAGUGGGCUAAUGACGGUACCUGAAGAAUAAGCACCGGCUAACUACGUGCCAGCAGCCGCGGUAAUACGUAGGGUGCAAGCGUUAAUCGGAAUUACUGGGCGUAAAGCGUGCGCAGGCGGUUUUGUAAGUCUGUCGUGAAAUCCCCGGGCUCAACCUGGGAAUGGCGAUGGAGACUGCAAGGCUAGAGUUUGGCAGAGGGGGGUAGAAUUCCACGUGUAGCAGUGAAAUGCGUAGAUAUGUGGAGGAACACCGAUGGCGAAGGCAGCCCCCUGGGUCAAAACUGACGCUCAUGCACGAAAGCGUGGGGAGCAAACAGGAUUAGAUACCCUUGUAGUCC